UACGUAGGGUGCAAGCGUUAAUCGGAAUUACUGGGCGUAAAGCGCGCGUAGGCGGACCUGCAAGUCGGGGGUGAAAGCCCGAGGCUCAACCUCGGAACUGCCUUCGAUACUGCGGGUCUGGAGUCCGGGAGAGGUGAGUGGAAUUCCUAGUGUAGAGGUGAAAUUCGUAGAUAUUAGGAAGAACACCAGUGGCGAAGGCGGCUCACUGGCCCGGUACUGGACGCUGGAGGCGACGAAAGCGGUGGGGAGCAAACAGG
rnacentral:rRNA from 1 species